UUAAGUGACUAAGCGUACACGGUGGAUGCCUUGGCAGUCAGAGGCGAUGAAAGACGUAGUAACUUGCGAUAAGCCCAGAUUAGGUAGUAACAACCAUUUGAGUCUGGGAUUUCUGAAUGGGGAAACCCACGUGCAUAAGCACGUAUCCUUACCUGAAUACAUAGGGUAAGGAGGCGAACCGGGGGAACUGAAACAUCUAAGUACCCCGAGGAAAAGAAAUCAACCGAGAUUCCGAAAGUAGCGGCGAGCGAAAUUGGACUAGCCCUUAAGCUUUACACGCGUUAGACGAACGGUCUGGAAAGUCCGACGAUACAGGGUGAUAGUCCCGUAGUUGACGACGUGUGUUCAGUGAAAUCGAGUAGGGCGGGACACGUGAUAUCCUGUCUGAAUAUGGGGGGACCAUCCUCCAAGGCUAAAUACUACUGACUGACCGAUAGUGAACCAGUACCGUGAGGGAAAGGCGAAAAGAACCCCUGUGAGGGGAGUGAAAUAGAACCUGAAACCGUGUACGUACAAGCAGUAGGAGCAGGCUUUGUCCUGUGACUGCGUACCUUUUGUAUAAUGGGUCAGCGACUUAUAUUCAGUGGCAAGGUUAACCAUCUAGGGGAGCCGUAGGGAAACCGAGUCUUAACUGGGCGUUCAGUCUCUGGAUAUAGACCCGAAACCAGGUGAUCUAGCCAUGGGCAGGUUGAAGGUUGAGUAACAUCAACUGGAGGACCGAACCGACUAAUGUUGAAAAAUUAGCGGAUGACUUGUGGCUAGGGGUGAAAGGCCAAUCAAACCUGGAGAUAGCUGGUUCUCCCCGAAAGCUAUUUAGGUAGCGCCUCGGACGAAUACUACUGGGGGUAGAGCACUGUUAAGGCUAGGGGGUCAUCCCGACUUACCAACCCUUUGCAAACUCCGAAUACCAGUAAGUACUAUCCGGGAGACACACGGCGGGUGCUAACGUCCGUCGUGGAGAGGGAAACAACCCAGACCGCCAGCUAAGGUCCCAAAUUACUACUAAGUGGGAAACGAUGUGGGAAGGCUCAGACAGCCAGGAUGUUGGCUUAGAAGCAGCCAUCAUUUAAAGAAAGCGUAAUAGCUCACUGGUCGAGUCGGCCUGCGCGGAAGAUGUAACGGGGCUAAGUAGUAAACCGAAGCUGCGGCAAUGUGCUUUUGCACAUUGGGUAGGGGAGCGUUCUGUAAGCGGUUGAAGGUGUGUGGUAACGCAUGCUGGACGUAUCAGAAGUGCGAAUGCUGACAUGAGUAACGAUAAAGGGGGUGAAAAACCUCCUCGCCGGAAGACCAAGGGUUCCUGUCCAACGUUAAUCGGGGCAGGGUAAGUCGACCCCUAAGGCGAGGCCGAAAGGCGUAGUCGAUGGGAAACGGGUUAAUAUUCCCGUACUUCUUACAAUUGCGAUGGGGGGACGGAGAAGGCUAGGUGGGCCUGGCGACGGUUGUCCAGGUUCAAGUGCGUAGGCUUAAGAGUUAGGUAAAUCCGGCUCUUUUUAAGGCUGAGACACGACGUCGAGCACCUACGGGUGUGAAGUCAUUGAUGCCAUGCUUCCAGGAAAAGCCUCUAAGCUUCAGAUUGUAAGGAAUCGUACCCCAAACCGACACAGGUGGUCGGGUAGAGAAUACCAAGGCGCUUGAGAGAACUCGGGUGAAGGAACUAGGCAAAAUGGUACCGUAACUUCGGGAGAAGGUACGCUCUCGACGGUGAAGUCCCUCGCGGAUGGAGCUAUUGAGAGUCGCAGAUACCAGGUGGCUGCAACUGUUUAUUAAAAACACAGCACUGUGCAAAAUCGUAAGAUGACGUAUACGGUGUGACGCCUGCCCGGUGCCGGAAGGUUAAUUGAUGGGGUUAGACUUCGGUCGAAGCUCUUGAUCGAAGCCCCGGUAAACGGCGGCCGUAACUAUAACGGUCCUAAGGUAGCGAAAUUCCUUGUCGGGUAAGUUCCGACCUGCACGAAUGGCGUAAUGAUGGCCACGCUGUCUCCACCCGAGACUCAGUGAAAUUGAAAUCGCUGUGAAGAUGCAGUGUACCCGCGGCUAGACGGAAAGACCCCGUGAACCUUUACUACAGCUUGGCACUGAACAUUGACCCUACAUGUGUAGGAUAGGUGGGAGGCUUUGAAGCACGUACGCCAGUAUGUGUGGAGCCGUCCUUGAAAUACCACCCUUGUAGUGUUGAUGUUCUAACGUCGACCCCUUAUCGGGGUUGCGGACAGUGCCUGGUGGGUAGUUUGACUGGGGCGGUCUCCUCCCAAAGAGUAACGGAGGAGCACGAAGGUGGGCUAAUCACGGUUGGACAUCGUGAGGUUAGUGCAAUGGCAUAAGCCCGCUUGACUGCGAGAAUGACAAUUCGAGCAGGUGCGAAAGCAGGUCAUAGUGAUCCGGUGGUUCUGAAUGGAAGGGCCAUCGCUCAACGGAUAAAAGGUACUCCGGGGAUAACAGGCUGAUACCGCCCAAGAGUUCAUAUCGACGGCGGUGUUUGGCACCUCGAUGUCGGCUCAUCACAUCCUGGGGCUGAAGUCGGUCCCAAGGGUAUGGCUGUUCGCCAUUUAAAGUGGUACGCGAGCUGGGUUUAGAACGUCGUGAGACAGUUCGGUCCCUAUCUGCCGUGGGCGUUGGAAGAUUGAAGGGGGCUGCUCCUAGUACGAGAGGACCGGAGUGGACGAACCUCUGGUGUUCGGGUUGUGUCGCCAGACGCAUUGCCCGGUAGCUAAGUUCGGAAUCGAUAACCGCUGAAAGCAUCUAAGCGGGAAGCGAGCCCUGAGAUGAGUCUUCCCUGAUACUUUAAGUAUCCUAAAGGGUUGUCGGAGACUACGACGUUGAUAGGUCAGGUGUGUAAGUGCUGUGAGGCAUUGAGCUAACUGAUACUAAUUGCCCGUGAGGCUUAACCAU
rnacentral:rRNA from 1 species